AGCGAACGCUGGCGGCAUGCCUAACACAUGCAAGCCGCACGGGGGGGCUUCGGCCUCCCAGUGGCGGACGGGUGAGGAACGCGUAGGGACCUGUCGAGGGGUGGGGGAUAACCGCGGGAAACUGCGGCUAAUACCGCAUGACGCCGCGGCGUGACAGCCGGGGCCAAAGGCGAAAGCCGCCCGCCGAGGGGCCUGCGUCCGAUUAGCUGGUUGGCGGGGUAGCGGCCCACCAAGGCGUCGAUCGGUAGCUGGUCUGAGAGGGUGAUCAGCCACACCGGGACUGAGACACGGCCCGGACUCCUACGGGAAGCAGCAGUGGGGAAUAUUGGACAAUGGGCGCAAGCCUGAUCCAGCAAUGCCGCGUGGGUGAAGAAGGUCUUCGGAUUGUAAAGCCCUUUCGGCGGGGACGAUGGUGACGGUACCCGCAGAAGAAGCCCCGGCUAACUUCGUG
rnacentral:rRNA from 1 species